GGAGGAGCGCGGCGCGGUGCUGCGGGAGAUGGACACGCUGCGAGAGGCGAAGCACAGCGCGCUCGCGCGGUUCCGCAGCUUAGAGGAACCGGUCGCGGACGACGCGGUCGUUUACUACGACGACGGCGGCGUGUGCGGGCCGUCGCCGCCGCAGCGCUGCCGGUCGAUGCCGUCGGUCGCUUACGACGACGACGGCGAGCGCGACGUUCAGAUCGUCAGAAAGAAGUACUAGUGGCGCCAUAUGUCGCGGGGUGGAGUAACAGCCUCGUACGGCUUGGUUCGCGCGGGAGGGUCGCCGGAAAUUGGUUAUAGGUCGCGCGUGGAAAUGAAUGUAGCGCAGCGUCGCGUGGCAGGACUCUGAAAUUUCAGAUCGGCGGGAAUUUAGUGGCGCCAUCUGUCGUGCAUCGCAGGAAAACAUGGCCUUGUAAAGCAUGCUCAUGCUGACUGUGUAGGACAGGGGUUCUUACCCUGGGGUCCGUGGAUGGACUUGAGGGGGUCCGUGAAGUAAUUACUGCAACUCGCGAGGAGUAGCGGCGCCCUAUGUCGCGCAAAGCGGGAUAGAAUGGCAGUGUACAGCGAGAACCCGGCGCGUAGGUUGUCGGCGAGCAACGGUGGCGCCAUCUCUCUGACGUAGUGCAACACAUUGCCUUAUACAGCAUUCUAACAUCAUCUGCAUGAAAAAGCGAUAGGACUUGUUGUCACUUGUAACUGCUGGCGCCAUCUGUUAAGUGUAGUGUGAAUCGUUAGCUAGUAGUUGUUCGAUCAUCGUUACUACAGACCACUGGCAUCAUAUAGAUAAUAGACCAUGGACUUCUGUAACUCCCCGUGUAUCAUGUGUCCGAAUUCUUCUACUAUCCUGCACAAAGCAUAGUAAAAGGUCAAAACGCCCAGAAAUUGAUGCGCCUUACAGGUCAAAGGUCAUCAACUACCCGUGCAUGUAAUCGAUGUAUGUAGGUGUCAAGAUGACACCCCAGGUCACAGGUAUAAGUAGAUGCUCUGAGAUUAUCUCUAUGCUUAUUCGGAUGAAAGUAUACUUUAUUUGCCAUGAUUCUUGUGCAGUAACGACCACUAAACGUACAGACAAGAAACUCAUAUAUCCCUGCGCAACCUAGCUUUACAUUCUCUACUUGUCCUCUCUCUUUCAAGUUUCCAUACAAGUUUUCACAAGUGACACGUUUAGGCACAAAUAUCAGGAGGGCUGGUCAUAGGCAAGGAUUCUGUGUACCACAGCUAUAUAAACCCGGAGAAAGCUUCAAAUAUGCGCGUGUUUAGUACAAAUACAUGAACGACGAAGGGCGCUGCAAAUAUAGGUUUGUAAAUCGGAUGUACAAAUUCCAGGAAUGCAACGCAAAUGUUUGUACACCACAGCUGCAUGAAAACAAAGUGAUACUGCACACGUGCGUGUAGGCAAAUGAUACGUGAAUGAUAGAACGCUUCACACAUGUUGAUGUUUCCUGUCGACUGAUGAACACUGGACAUACUUUACUACAAGCGAAGAGUAUACGUUACUAAUCUACGCGUUUUCCGCGCGUGUGAAUCGAUCCAGCCAUAUGUAAUCCCCUCGAUUUUAUUUCAACGCCGUUGACAGUUUCCAGUGAAUGUGUACAGAAUGUUUUCGAUGUCCCCUUUGUUGUACAUAGAUAAAUGAAUUGUCUAAUAUAACACCUACUAAUUAUGUUGACCUGCGAGUGGGGGGCUGUAGGCAGGAACACGUGUGCGCGCGCGUGUGCAUGUUAAUUCAGUAUCUUGACGAUUAACUUUGAAAUUGAAUGAGAGUGAAUGUCAAUCUAUAACGCACUAAUAUUUUAUAAUUGUUCUAGACUAACACUAUUAAUGAAUUACUUACAUGUCUCAUUUUUUUGCUUCCGAAUGUCUGAUUGCUAAGUUACUAAUAUAACAUCUUUUGUAUCCUGUGUAUGGUGUAGCAACUGUUAAAAUUGCAAUAAAUGGAGAAAAAAUCACUAUUUUAA